rnacentral:rRNA from 1 species
AAACGGGAUCUAAUACCGGAUAACACUCCUGUCCUCCGGAACGGGGGGUUUAAAAGCUCCCCGGCGGGGUAAAGGAUAAAGCCCCCGCGGCCCUUUCAAGCCUUGUUGGUGGAGGGUAAUGGCCUCACCAAAGGCGGACGGACGGGUUAGCCCGGCCUGGAGAGGGCGGACCCGGCCACCACUGGGAACUGAGRCCACGGCCCCAAAACCCCUACGGGAGGGCAGCCAGUGGGGGAAUAUUGCACCAAUGGGCGAAAGCCCUGAUGGCAGCGACGCCCGCGUGAGGGAAGACGGCCUUUCGGGUUGUAAACCUCCUUCCAGCAGGGAAGAAGCGAAAGUGACGGUACCUGCAGAAGAAGCGCCGGCUAACUACGUGCCAGCAGCCGCGGUAAUACGUAGGGCGCAAGCGUUGUCCGGAAUUAUUGGGCGUAAAGAGCUCGUAGGCGGCUUGUCACGUCGGGUGUGAAAGCCCGGGGCUUAACCCCGGGUCUGCAUUCGAUACGGGCUAGCUAGAGUGUGGUAGGGGAGAUCGGAAUUCCUGGUGUAGCGGUGAAAUGCGCAGAUAUCAGGAGGAACACCGGUGGCGAAGGCGGAUCUCUGGGCCAUUACUGACGCUGAGGAGCGAAAGCGUGGGGAGCGAACAGGAUUAGAUACCCUGGUAGUCCACGCCGUAAACGGUGGGAACUAGGUGUUGGCGACAUUCCACGUCGUCGGUGCCGCAGCUAACGCAUUAAGUUCCCCGCCUGGGGAGUACGGCCGCAAGGCUAAAACUCAAAGGAAUUGACGGGGGCCCGCACAAGCAGCGGAGCAUGUGGCUUAAUUCGACGCAACGCGAAGAACCUUACCAAGGCUUGACAUACACCGGGAAACGUCUGGGAGACAGGCGCCCCCCUUGUGGUCGGUGUACAGGUUGGUGCAUGGCCUGUCGUCAGCUCGUGGUCGUGAGAAUGUUGGGGUUAAGUCCCGGCAACGAAGCGCAACCCUUUGUUCCUGUGUUGGCCAGCAUGGGCCCUUCGGGGUGRAUGGGGGACUCACAGGGAAAACCGCCCGGGGGUCAACUCGGAGGAAGGAAGGGAGGGGGACGAACCACCAAGCCCCCCAUGUCUUGGGCCCCCCACGUGGUAAAAGGGCAGGCCAAACU